rnacentral:rRNA from 1 species
AGGGUUUGAUUAUGGCUCAGAACGUACGCUGGCGGCACGCCUAACACAUGCAAGUCGAACGAAGUAGCAAUACUUAGUGGCAGACGGGUGAGUAACAUGUAGGUAUCUGCCCUUUGGCCUGGAAUAACACGAGGAAACUUGUGCUAAUACCGGAUAAGUCUUUACGGAGAAAGCUUUAUGCACCAUUGGAUGAGCCUGCACUUGAUUAGUUUGUUGGUGGGGUAAUGGCCUACCAAGACUGUGAUCAAUAGCUGAUUUGAGAGGAUGAUCAGCCACAUUGGGACUGAGACACGGCCCAAACUCCUACGGGAGGCAGCAGUGGGGAAUCUUGCACAAUGGAGGAAACUCUGAUGCAGCGAUGCCGCGUGAGUGAAGAAGGCCCUUGGGUUGUAAAGCUCUUUCGUCGGGGAAGAAAAUGACUGUACCCGAAUAAGAAGGUCCGGCUAACUUCGUGCCAGCAGCCGCGGUAAUA